AACGAACGCUGGCGGCAUGCCUAACACAUGCAAGUCGAACGAGACCUUCGGGUCUAGUGGCGCACGGGUGCGUAACGCGUGGGAAUCUGCCCUUGGGUUCGGAAUAACAGCGAGAAAUUGCUGCUAAUACCGGAUGAUGACGUAAGUCCAAAGAUUUAUCGCCCAAGGAUGAGCCCGCGUAGGAUUAGCUAGUUGGUGAGGUAAAGGCUCACCAAGGCGACGAUCCUUAGCUGGUCUGAGAGGAUGAUCAGCCACACUGGGACUGAGACACGGCCCAGACUCCUACGGGAGGCAGCAGUGGGGAAUAUUGGACAAUGGGCGAAAGCCUGAUCCAGCAAUGCCGCGUGAGUGAUGAAGGCCUUAGGGUUGUAAAGCUCUUCUACCCGGGAUGAUAAUGACAGUACCGGGAGAAUAAGCUCCGGCUAACUCCGUGCCAGCAGCC
rnacentral:rRNA from 1 species